rnacentral:rRNA from 1 species
AUUGAACGCUGGCGGCAUGCCUUACACAUGCAAGUCGAACGGUAACAGGUCUUCGGAUGCUGACGAGUGGCGAACGGGUGAGUAAUACAUCGGAACGUGCCUAGUAGUGGGGGAUAACUACUCGAAAGAGUGGCUAAUACCGCAUGAGAUCUACGGAUGAAAGCAGGGGAUCGCAAGACCUUGUGCUACUAGAGCGGCCGAUGGCAGAUUAGGUAGUUGGUGGGAUAAAAGCUUACCAAGCCGACGAUCUGUAGCUGGUCUGCGAGGACGAUCAGCCACCUUGGGACUGAGACCCGGCCCAGACUCCUACGGGAGGCAGCAGUGGGGAAUUUUGGACAAUGGGCGCAAGCCUGAUCCAGCAAUGCCGCGUGCAGGAUGAAGGCCUUCGGGUUGUAAACUGCUUUUGUACGGAACGAAAAGCCCUGGGUUGAUACCCUGGGGUCAUGACGGUACCGUAAGAAUAAGCACCGGCUAACUACGUGCCAGCCGCCGCCGUAAUAC